CCUACGGGUGGCAGCAGUGAGGAAUAUUGGUCAAUGGGCGCGAGCCUGAACCAGCCAAGUCGCGUGAGGGAAGACGGUCCUAUGGAUUGUAAACCUCUUUUGUCGGGGAGCAAAAGACGCCACGCGUGGCGUUCCGAGAGUACCCGAAGAAAAAGCAUCGGCUAACUCCGUGCCAGCAGCCGCGGUAAUACGGAGGAUGCGAGCGUUAUCCGGAGUUAUUGGGUUUAAAGGGUGCGCAGGCGGAAGAUCAAGUCAGCGGUAAAAUUGAGAGGCUCAACCUCUUCGAGCCGUUGAAACUGGUGUUCUUGAGUGAGUGAGAAGUAGGCGGAAUGCGUGGUGUAGCGGUGAAAUGCAUAGAUAUCACGCAGAACUCCGAUUGCGAAGGCAGCAUACCGGCGCUCAACUGACGCUCAUGCACGAAAGUGUGGGUAUCGAACAGGAUUAGAUACCCCGGUAGUC
rnacentral:rRNA from 1 species